rnacentral:rRNA from 1 species
UACGGAGGGUGCAAGCGUUAUCCGGAUUCACUGGGUUUAAAGGGUGCGUAGGUGGGCAGGUAAGUCAGUGGUGAAAUCUCCGGGCUUAACCCGGAACUGCCGUUGAUACUAUCUGUCUUGAAUAUGGUGGAGGUAAGCGGAAUAUGUCAUGUAGCGGUGAAAUGCUUAGAGAUGACAUAGAACACCUAUUGCGAAGGCAGCUUACUACGCCUAUAUUGACGUUGAGGCACGAAAGCGUGGGGAUCAAACAGG